UCAGCUAAAUAUAACCUUUUUUUUUUUUUUGAGGUUAAACACCUCCUAUCCAUCUGCACAGUUACCAAAAAGCAGCGACGUCACUGACACUGUCCACACCGCUAAGCCUCAGAGAGCAGACCCCGUCCUCCUCAGAAGACGUUCCGUUGCCUGGUUACCUCGCGGAGCGGCGGCGUUAAGCACGGAUUGAAAGGUCAGCCACGGGUCCUACCGAGUGCUUUAUCAAAUCGCACAGCUGUGUGGCGGCGGAGGAUUCAAGAAACAUCCGGAGGAACUUCACGUGGGAAAGAGCUGCUGCGCUCAUCCUAGUUUCAUUAUCCGAGCGCGAGGUCUCUUAUGAAAGAAACAACAGAGCUGCGUUAUCAGGGGCGCACAAUGCCGAGGAAGACAGAGGAGACGGAGAGUAUCAGCCGCUCACAAGGAACAGGAAAACAAUCAGUGACAACAAUGGCUGCCGAGGGGUUAGCCGUCUGCUAAUUGAAUGAACAACAGGGUGAGAUCUAAAACGGAUUCUGAACAAUGUCUGUUUUCUUCUUCCUUUAAGUCAGAAUGUUGGAUUCUUUUGUGAGCAGAAGUAGCGCUCUAAAAGAAACAAAAUACUUUAUUC